CGAUAAAUUUCUUCUUGGUAGAGUAACUAGACUCGUAGUAUUUAUAAAGUUAUAAAUUAUAAACCGUUUGGCUAGCAGUCGUGGUGUAACUGGGGUUUCUGAGGAGCAUAAUAAAACAUUUACUAAUUGCUCUUUGGAAAAUCUACAAAUAACAAAUACAGGGGGUCAGUUUACCCACCCAUUUAAAUCACCGUUUAAACUUUAGAGUAUUGCUUUAUUGUGCACUGUGAUUGGUUAACAUUUAAUAUUAGCAAUUGUUACAAUGUCAGACGGCUUCAUUCCGUUAAAUCAAAGCACUCCGGUGCAAAAUAAAUGGCAAACUGGAAAACAACAAAAUCAAAGGAAUUAUCAGAACAAUCGUUUUCAGAACGGUAAUGGUCAUAGACGCAGUGGUUAUAACCGAUGGGGUAACAAUUCAAGGAACAGCACCUUUGGGAGUGAUAGCAACAACAGCUAUAAUACAGAUAAUGGGCCUAGUAUAGAUGCAUAUUUGCACCCUUCAAUGCUGGAAGAUCCGUGGGCUCAACUUCGCCAAAACACGAAAUAAUGACCUAGAAAUCAAUAUUUACUAAGCAAGUUUUUGAUUAAAUGGACAGCAUCUUUGUUGUGAACAAUAAUUUAAAAAUAGCCAAGGAAUUAUUCUUAUGUAUAGAUAGACAGUGUUACAUAAUUUUCAGGCCUGAUGGCAGACAUCGAAGUGUUCGUGAACCACGUUUAACGCUACACACUUGUUCAAUGAGAAGUCAUUCUGAUGCAGCAAGGCUGGACGAAUAAAAAAAGAUGUGUGGUGUCGUGGGACACCGAAUAGAAACGAAG